rnacentral:rRNA from 1 species
AUGAACGCUGGCGGCAGGCCUAACCCAUGCAAGUCGAACGAGUGGCGGAAGGGUGAGGAAUUGUCGGGAAAAUUCCCGAUGGAGGGGGAUUACUACUGGAAAAGGUAGCUAAUACCGCAUACCCAUGGGAGUGGCCAGAUGGGAUUAGCCAGUGGGUGGGGUAACGGCUAACCCAGGCGACGAUCCCGAGCUGGUCUGAGAGGAGGACCAGCCACACUGGAACGGAGACACGGUCCAGACUCCUACGGGAGGCAGCAGUGGGGAAGAUUGCACAAUGGGCGCAAGCCUGAUGCAGCCAGGCCGCGUGUAUGAAGAAGGCCUUCGGGUUGUAAAGUACUUUCAGCGGGGAGGCGUUACCCGCAGAAGAAGCACCGGCUAACUCCGUGCCAGCCGCCGCGGUAAUUC